UUAAGCGACUAAGCGUACACGGUGGAUGCCCUGGCAGUCAGAGGCGAUGAAGGACGUGCUAAUCUGCGAUAAGCGUCGGUAAGGUGAUAUGAACCGUUAUAACCGGCGAUUUCCGAAUGGGGAAACCCAGUGUGAUUCGUCACACUAUCAUUAACUGAAUCCAUAGGUUAAUGAGGCGAACCGGGGGAACUGAAACAUCUAAGUACCCCGAGGAAAAGAAAUCAACCGAGAUUCCCCCAGUAGCGGCGAGCGAACGGGGAGCAGCCCAGAGCCUGAAUCAGUGUGUGUGUUAGUGGAAGCGUCUGGAAAGGCGUGCGAUACAGGGUGACAGCCCCGUACACAAAAAUGCACAUAUUGUGAGCUCGAUGAGUAGGGCGGGACACGUGGUAUCCUGUCUGAAUAUGGGGGGACCAUCCUCCAAGGCUAAAUACUCCUGACUGACCGAUAGUGAACCAGUACCGUGAGGGAAAGGCGAAAAGAACCCCGGCGAGGGGAGUGAAAAAGAACCUGAAACCGUGUACGUACAAGCAGUGGGAGCACGCUUAGGCGUGUGACUGCGUACCUUUUGUAUAAUGGGUCAGCGACUUAUAUUCUGUAGCAAGGUUAACCGAAUAGGGGAGCCGAAGGGAAACCGAGUCUUAACUGGGCGUUAAGUUGCAGGGUAUAGACCCGAAACCCGGUGAUCUAGCCAUGGGCAGGUUGAAGGUUGGGUAACACUAACUGGAGGACCGAACCGACUAAUGUUGAAAAAUUAGCGGAUGACUUGUGGCUGGGGGUGAAAGGCCAAUCAAACCGGGAGAUAGCUGGUUCUCCCCGAAAGCUAUUUAGGUAGCGCCUCGUGAAUUCAUCUCCGGGGGUAGAGCACUGUUUCGGCAAGGGGGUCAUCCCGACUUACCAACCCGAUGCAAACUGCGAAUACCGGAGAAUGUUAUCACGGGAGACACACGGCGGGUGCUAACGUCCGUCGUGAAGAGGGAAACAACCCAGACCGCCAGCUAAGGUCCCAAAGUCAUGGUUAAGUGGGAAACGAUGUGGGAAGGCCCAGACAGCCAGGAUGUUGGCUUAGAAGCAGCCAUCAUUUAAAGAAAGCGUAAUAGCUCACUGGUCGAGUCGGCCUGCGCGGAAGAUGUAACGGGGCUAAACCAUGCACCGAAGCUGCGGCAGCGACGCUUAUGCGUUGUUGGGUAGGGGAGCGUUCUGUAAGCCUGCGAAGGUGUGCUGUGAGGCAUGCUGGAGGUAUCAGAAGUGCGAAUGCUGACAUAAGUAACGAUAAAGCGGGUGAAAAGCCCGCUCGCCGGAAGACCAAGGGUUCCUGUCCAACGUUAAUCGGGGCAGGGUGAGUCGACCCCUAAGGCGAGGCCGAAAGGCGUAGUCGAUGGGAAACAGGUUAAUAUUCCUGUACUUGGUGUUACUGCGAAGGGGGGACGGAGAAGGCUAUGUUGGCCGGGCGACGGUUGUCCCGGUUUAAGCGUGUAGGCUGGUUUUCCAGGCAAAUCCGGAAAACUAAGGCUGAGGCGUGAUGACGAGGCACUACGGUGCUGAAGCAACAAAUGCCCUGCUUCCAGGAAAAGCCUCUAAGCAUCAGGUAACAUCAAAUCGUACCCCAAACCGACACAGGUGGUCAGGUAGAGAAUACCAAGGCGCUUGAGAGAACUCGGGUGAAGGAACUAGGCAAAAUGGUGCCGUAACUUCGGGAGAAGGCACGCUGAUAUGUAGGUGAAGUCCCUCGCGGAUGGAGCUGAAAUCAGUCGAAGAUACCAGCUGGCUGCAACUGUUUAUUAAAAACACAGCACUGUGCAAACACGAAAGUGGACGUAUACGGUGUGACGCCUGCCCGGUGCCGGAAGGUUAAUUGAUGGGGUUAGCGCAAGCGAAGCUCUUGAUCGAAGCCCCGGUAAACGGCGGCCGUAACUAUAACGGUCCUAAGGUAGCGAAAUUCCUUGUCGGGUAAGUUCCGACCUGCACGAAUGGCGUAAUGAUGGCCAGGCUGUCUCCACCCGAGACUCAGUGAAAUUGAACUCGCUGUGAAGAUGCAGUGUACCCGCGGCAAGACGGAAAGACCCCGUGAACCUUUACUAUAGCUUGACACUGAACAUUGAGCCUUGAUGUGUAGGAUAGGUGGGAGGCUUGGAAGUGUGGACGCCAGUCUGCAUGGAGCCGACCUUGAAAUACCACCCUUUAAUGUUUGAUGUUCUAACGUUGACCCGUGAUCCGGGUUGCGGACAGUGUCUGGUGGGUAGUUUGACUGGGGCGGUCUCCUCCUAAAGAGUAACGGAGGAGCACGAAGGUUGGCUAAUCCUGGUCGGACAUCAGGAGGUUAGUGCAAUGGCAUAAGCCAGCUUGACUGCGAGCGUGACGGCGCGAGCAGGUGCGAAAGCAGGUCAUAGUGAUCCGGUGGUUCUGAAUGGAAGGGCCAUCGCUCAACGGAUAAAAGGUACUCCGGGGAUAACAGGCUGAUACCGCCCAAGAGUUCAUAUCGACGGCGGUGUUUGGCACCUCGAUGUCGGCUCAUCACAUCCUGGGGCUGAAGUAGGUCCCAAGGGUAUGGCUGUUCGCCAUUUAAAGUGGUACGCGAGCUGGGUUUAGAACGUCGUGAGACAGUUCGGUCCCUAUCUGCCGUGGGCGCUGGAGAACUGAGGGGGGCUGCUCCUAGUACGAGAGGACCGGAGUGGACGCAUCACUGGUGUUCGGGUUGUCAUGCCAAUGGCACUGCCCGGUAGCUAAAUGCGGAAGAGAUAAGUGCUGAAAGCAUCUAAGCACGAAACUUGCCCCGAGAUGAGUUCUCCCUGACUCCUUGAGAGUCCUGAAGGAACGUUGAAGACGACGACGUUGAUAGGCCGGGUGUGUAAGCGCAGCGAUGCGUUGAGCUAACCGGUACUAAUGAACCGUGAGGCUUAACCU
rnacentral:rRNA from 1 species